UACUUUAGCCUUUCGUAGGUGACCUGCGGAGGAUCAUUC
rnacentral:rRNA from 1 species